rnacentral:rRNA from 1 species
UACAGAGGUCCCAAGCGUUGUUCGGAUUCAUUGGGCGUAAAGGGUGCGUAGGUGGCGCCGUAAGUGGGGUGUGAAAUUUCGGAGCUUAACUCCGAAACUGCAUUCCAUACUGCGGUGCUUGAGGACUGGAGAGGAGACUGGAAUUUACGGUGUAGCAGUGAAAUGCGUAGAGAUCGUAAGGAAGACCAGUGGCGAAGGCGGGUCUCUGGACAGUUCCUGACACUGAGGCACGAAGGCCAGGGGAGCAAACAGG